UGUUGUGAACUCGAAGAGUAGGGCGGGACACGUGGUAUCCUGUCUGAAUAUGGGGGGACCAUCCUCCAAGGCUAAAUACUCCUGACUGACCGAUAGUGAACCAGUACCGUGAGGGAAAGGCGAAAAGAACCCCGGCGAGGGGAGUGAAAAAGAACCUGAAACCGUGUACGUACAAGCAGUGGGAGCCUUGAUUUAUCAGGGUGACUGCGUACCUUUUGUAUAAUGGGUCAGCGACUUAUAUUCUGUAGCAAGGUUAACCGUAUAGGGGAGCCGAAGGGAAACCGAGUCUUAACUGGGCGUUAAGUUGCAGGGUAUAGACCCGAAACCCGGUGAUCUAGCCAUGGGCAGGUUGAAGGUUGGGUAACACUAACUGGAGGACCGAACCGACUAAUGUUGAAAAAUUAGCGGAUGACUUGUGGCUGGGGGUGAAAGGCCAAUCAAACCGGGAGAUAGCUGGUUCUCCCCGAAAGCUAUUUAGGUAGCGCCUCGUGAACUCAUCUUCGGGGGUAGAGCACUGUUUCGGCUAGGGGGUCAUCCCGACUUACCAACCCGAUGCAAACUACGAAUACCGAAGAAUGUUAUCACGGGAGACACACGGCGGGUGCUAACGUCCGUCGUGAAGAGGGAAACAACCCAGACCGCCAGCUAAGGUCCCAAAGUCACAGUUAAGUGGGAAACGAUGUGGGAAGGCACAGACAGCCAGGAUGUUGGCUUAGAAGCAGCCAUCAUUUAAAGAAAGCGUAAUAGCUCACUGGUCGAGUCGGCCUGCGCGGAAGAUGUAACGGGGCUAAACUGUGCACCGAAGCUGCGGCAGCGACACUAUGUGUUGUUGGGUAGGGGAGCGUUCUGUAAGCCGUUGAAGGUGUCCUGUGAGGGGUGCUGGAGGUAUCAGAAGUGCGAAUGCUGACAUAAGUAACGAUAAUGCGGGUGAAAAACCCGCACGCCGGAAGACCAAGGGUUCCUGUCCAACGUUAAUCGGGGCAGGGUGAGUCGACCCCUAAGGCGAGGCCGAAAGGCGUAGUCGAUGGGAAACAGGUUAAUAUUCCUGUACUUGGUGUUACUGCGAAGGGGGGACGGAGAAGGCUAUGUUAGCCGGGCGACGGUUGUCCCGGUUUAAGCAUGUAGGCGG
rnacentral:rRNA from 1 species